UGUCCCGAUGAUAAUGAGAUUAGGAAGUGCAGUCAGAAUGACAACUGACGGUUUUUAUGCCUGUCUGACC